rnacentral:rRNA from 1 species
UACGUAGGGGGCAAGCGUUGUCCGGAUUUACUGGGCGUAAAGAGCGCGUAGGCGGUCUGUUAAGUGUGAAGUGAAAUCUCCAGGGCUCAACCCGGAAACUGCUUCGCAUACUGGCAGACUUGAGGGAUGCAGAGGUUUGUGGAAUUCCUGGUGUAGCGGUGAAAUGCGUUGAUAUCAGGAGGAACACCCAUGGCGAAGGCAGCAAACUGGGCAUCAUCUGACGCUGAGGCGCGAAAGCGUGGGUAGCAAACAGG